CAACAAACCCUACUGAAAGUAGGAUGUGCUGGAUCUUGCGCUACAUGCCUCAAAUCCAAAGAUAAGUUUCUUUUGUAAAUUGUAUUCUUUAACGGUGCCUUAGAUUUUCUAAUUGUUUAGUAUUAGGUCCGGUUUUGGGGGAUUUCUGAUUUUAUAGAGAGAGAUGGAUAGGGAGAUAGAGAUAGACAGAGAGAGGAGAAAGCAUGGCUGUGUGCAUUUUUUGGCGUUAAUUAAUGGGUUAGUGCGCAAGGUCAGUGAGGAGAAAGUGACAGAGGGGUGUAUGGCAGGGUAUGGGUUUUUAGUUUUCUGAUUCAAUAGGUUAUGCACUGUUUGAAAAUAAUUGUUUAUUGUUUUGUUUUCCGUUUGCUUUGUUAGAACCAUUAUUCGAAUUUUUGGGUUUCACUAUGCUCAUUUAUGUGCUUAUUCAAAAUUUUAUCGUGUUUGCUUCUCAUUCCUCUGUUGGUUGAUUUUUUUUUUUCCCAUUUCUUGGUUCCUUAUGUAUUCCUUGGUUUUGUCUAGUUUUUGGUUGUGGGAUGAUGCUUGCAGGUGAACUAUAUGCACGGUUUUUUGGGACGAGUUAGGAAGAUCCACCUGAAAACAGCAUACAAGAUAGAGAAUUGAUCAAAAUAAAGUGAAAGCUUUUAACUGUGAAUUUUGCAACCGCUGCCUUGCUGCUUUGGACCAAGUAGCCGACCCUCUACAACAAAAUCAGACCGCUCGGAAACCCUAGCUUGAAUGUGGUUCCAGAGCUCGACGACUGCGUCUACAAUGGCAACAAAGUUUGAGUAGCUUCAGUGCAUCAUUCACGACCUCCGAAAGCGGAAACGCUUCUCCCAAGCCCUCCAGGUUGCAGAUUUCAGAGUGGAUGAAUCAGAAGGGGAUAUGCAUAUUUUUGCUGGUUGAGCAUGCCGUGCAGCUGGAUUUGAUUGGGAAGGAAGAAUUUGGCACAAAUUGCUGUGAAAUAAAGCCAGUUUGAGUCUCUGGGUCGAAUCGUAUUGGACAUUGUUGCAUCAUGGAGCAUGUGAUUGCUGGGAAGUUUAAGCUGGGGAGGAAGAUUGUGAGUAGGUCUUUCGGAGAACUCUAUUUAGGUGUAAAUGUACACAGUGGGGAGGGGGUGGCUGUUAAGCUGUUUCAGGGCAUUUUGCGUUUGAAGGAUUUGAAACUGUUGUAAGCUAAAUGGGUGUGAAACAAGAUGAUAGCACUAUUGACACUGUGCCUGCAAUGGAACAGUCCCACAAGAUCUGCUUGCUGUCAUGAUUCUACUCAAUCUCAUUGAAUAUAUGUUUUUUAGAUGUUUUGUUAGGAGAAGAUUUUUGAUGAGUUAGAUAAGAGAGUGAAGAAGUUUCUUAGAGGAGCAGAAGCAAAUUUAGAGGGCUUGAAAGAUAAGAAAUUGAAGAGUCAACUUGCUGUUAGAGAAGAAUUGUAUGGAAAAUCUGCACAAGCUGCUGCCAAGGCUGAGAAGACGGUUAAAGCUGCCAUGCUUGGUGAGAUAAUGGAUUACUUGAAGUUAAGGCUCCAAGUAAUGGUAGAGUUGUUUCAACUAUAACGCAUGUUUUCUUUUUCAAAUGAAUGAUAGAAUUCCUAUUACUCAAUCCUCUCAUCUAUGUCUAUUGUAUUACAUUCAAUUAUUUGCUGAAACUUUUCUGUUCUUAAUAUGGUCAUUAAUUUUAAAUGAUUGUUAUUCCAUACAAGCUUACUUUCCUUUGAUAUUAACGUUUUCUGAUAAAAUGGUAGAAAUCCACAUGCAUUUGACAAAUAAUUGUCAUCAUUUUAGCAGUACAAUGCACAUCCACAUAAUUGAGCAUAGUAAAGAAAAAAUUGAAUACUUCUUAAUAGACAUUUUUUUUUCAAUACUCCCAGACCUUCUUGCAUUGUACAAAAGGUUCGGAAUUUCUAUUUAAAUGUGUCAAUACGUUAUUAUUAUUUUUUCUUUUGUGCUUUGGCAAUAUGACUUAUCUUGCCAAAAGAUGUAUGUGGGUUUUGAGGGUUCAGGGAUCCCUUUUUCUUAAGAUUACUGGAUUGGUCCUUACCUCCAUGUGUUGUUGAGUCUAUUGAGAGCUGGUAUGCAUGAGAACUUUAAGUAAUCAUUGCCAUAAAAAGUAGAAGUGAUGACUCACACCAGGAAUCAGUUAUCUCAUCAAAAACUUUAUUUUUAUCUUCGAAUUUGAUACCUGUAGGUGUAUAUAGGUUAAAUCGAUUGUUGAGAUGGCAAUUUAAUCACUUCUCAACAUCCGAUAUCUCCAUCUCCCUGUUCUGGAUUUUUACUUACUUGAAAUGAAUAGAUUCUAGGCGUUUCGUUUAGCAAAAUGAGUAGUGGAUAGUGCUGAAUCAUUUUUUUUACAUUCACAGCAAUAUGGGCACUUUUCUUGGCAAUAUAGAAUGUGAUUCAGUUGUAUUGAAUUUGUUCGAUUAACCGUUGGUCCAUUUAUAGUUCAUUUAAUCUUUUGAAUUAGUAAGCUACCGUGUGGUGUCCUUUAGAUUUCUUGGUAUGCUAUUGAUAUGGAGAACAUCAUCUAUCUGUUCUAUUUAUCGCAUGAUAUAAGAAUCAAAGUAGACUUGGCAUCCCCUUUGUGGCCUUUUUUGUGUUAGCAGAUGCCAUCAGAGAGGCAAAAACAUAUCGGCUACAAAGUGCAAUGAGCUACAAGUUACUAAGUUUCGCCAUAUGCCUUCAUUGUGGCAUUGGCCUUUCUGCGACAAUUUGCUUCACAAACCUCUACAAUUAGGUUCCAUACAGUAUGUUGCAAGUUUGAGGAUAUCUCUACAUCUUAAUUUCUGCUCUCUGGUUGCUUCAAGUUUAUAAUUUUACGUGCUACGCUACCACUUGAUUUGAUUAUAAAAAUGUAAAACAAAAUCCGUCCAUGAUUUACAAAUUUGUAUUCGAUUUUUUAUGUUUUUCCAGUGCAAGGCAUAUGUUGCACAAGCAUGUAAAUGGUACAAAUUAUUUGGUUUUGGACAGUAAGCUUUGAGUUUUACAAUCCUUGUAAGGGGAUUGUGACUCAAGUGAACAAAUUUACUGGAGAAGUUAUGCAUGCAUUCAUUUAGGUAAUUGUAGAAGUUAUGCAUGCAUUCUUUUGGCAAUCCUUUCCCAAAACCUGUAGUGAUCCUGAUAUGAGUCUAACUC